rnacentral:rRNA from 1 species
UACUCCUACGGGAGGCAGCAGUGGGGAAUUUUGGACAAUGGGCGCAAGCCUGAUCCAGCAAUGCCGCGUGAGUGAAGAAGGCCUUCGGGUUGUAAAGCUCUUUCAGUUGAGAAGAAAAAAUUGUGACUAAUAAUCGCUGUCGAUGACGGUUCGACAGAGAGCCGG